UCUGUUCAGUCAGGAAUCACAUCAGUAGUGUCUCCAGAGGAGAGAGGAUCUCUACCUGUGGCUUCAUAUUCAUUAACUGCAUCUUACCUAAUGGGACACACAUAUCAGAGUGGGUGUUUGAAGACAAUAACACACUGUGUAUUAACCCAACUACUGUCCCAACAACUGCCCCAACCACUGCCCCUACCACUGCUCCAACUACUGCCCCUCCCACUAGUUUGGGUCACCUGUCCAUCAUAUGUGCGUUGACAGUAUCUGUGAUAAUUCUCUUGUUAAUUGGGAUUCUCGUCAUUUUUGCCUGGAAGAAAAAAAGACAAGGAAAAGCUGAAGGCUCAGCUGUCCCACAAACACUGGAACCUCCAGAGAACUCUGUCAUGAUGGUUGAAAUGAGAGAUUCUGCACCUUAAAACAACAACUAGCAACACAUUUCAUCUGAUUUGUCUUCAUUGGUGUAAAGAAAUAGGGUUUCGAGUGAAACUCUGCUCCUGUUUCUAUUCUUCAUGAGACUGAUGACAGCUUAGCAUCUUUCUAUUAAUCCUCUUAAAUAUUUCUCAGUGUUUCCUUCAUUUUUAUCACUGAACACUCUGAUGGAAUAAAGGUUACGUCAGUAAUUCAACAGUGAUCACAGCUCACAUGUUGCACAUCCUCCAUUUGGCAAGUGGAAGAUGUAGCUAAAUCUUGUUGUGUCUGAAAGAUAAAAAGUAAUAAACACAUAAUUUUUCAGAGCUACUGAUCCUGGAAAUUAAUGAAAAUGCACAAACACAUCCACAUUACAAGAGAUACCUCUCCAUGCCUGAAAAGUUAGGAAUGAAAGGCCUAGGUACACCACACACACCCAUCCCAAGUUUUUAAUGCACCUCACCUUAGGGGUCCACCCAGGAUCGGUCAGGGUCAGGGCAGGCUGCAGGACAGUAGUGUGCUGCAGUCCUCUGACC